AUCUUCAUUGGUUUCAUUCAAGAUGUCGUAAUGAGUGAUUUCCAAAAUAUAUUUUCAGGUAUGCAUACGGCAUUGAUAUAGCCAAAAACGUUGCUUCGAACUUUUUUGAAAUGUUUCGGACAUGUGUUCAAUUUCCUAUGCCGAACAACAAACGAUUUCAAACUGAUUUACAAAGUUUCAUCAACUUUCCAUCCAAAACCACAGUUGGGUUCGCGCCAAGAUUUACAAGCAACCGCAAGUUUUUUGGAAAUAUGAUUAGUAACACAGCUUUCAAAGAAAUGAUAACGAAAGACGAGGAAUACAUUACGAAUAAUUUUGUUGAAAAAUUGAAGUUCUGCGAUGCUGCUGUAAUGGACCAAGAAUUCUUAAAGUUCUAUUACGAUCGAGAUAUUGAUCAGUUCCAAGUUUAAUAAUGUUAAAAACUGUUAAUAAGAAAGACUUCAUUAGUAAUAAAUUAAUGAAUAAGUAAAAUUAGAAAUAA